UUUGCAUGUUCCCAGGCUGUCCUUGAACUUCCUGAUUCAAGCGACCCUCCCUCCUCAGGGGGACUGGACCUCUGCUCAGCACACUUUAGAACGAUUCACCUCGGACUACCGCUUUAUUCUAAACUAACUCUAAUGCAGGCUUCCACCAGGCAGCCGUGGAACUCUGGCCUACCCGUAAAUAUCUCCGCAGAGUGACUAAACAUAUUUUCUAACCAAAAAAAAAAAAAAGAGGAGGAAGAAGAAGAAGAAGAAGAAAAAGAAAAACACCUGCAAACGGUCAAAGUACAGGAGCGUCCCGUGGCUCUAGCCUCCUGGAGCACAAGCCUGCAAGUUCAAGGCGCUGGGGAAGGGAAGGGCACCAGCAACCGCGGCUUCCCGCCCCGCCCCUUCCCCCACCCGGCAGGGGUCACGUGACGGCUGAGAAAAGUAGGGGAAAGGUUACGAGAGCCCCGCCCCCGUGCUGGCGCGUCCGGGGCGCUCGGAUCCUGUUCCACCGGCCAAGCCCACGCAGGCCUUCCGGAGCGAGCCGGCGCGCGUCGCCACUGCCAUCCCUGUGCGCCGCCCCGGUAGCCGCCGACCCGCUUUGUCCCCGCGAGACACAUGUCGCCUGCAGCAAACAGCCGGCCGGCAAACCCUGCCUCGGAGGGUUUCGUCUACGAAACCCAGGCAAACGUAAAUAAAUAAAUAAAAAGAUAAAAGAGAAAAAUUCAAGUAUGCGGUUAAGUCAGAGUUAAGAAAACGGUCAUUUACAUGACAAAAGACCUCUGGGGCUGCAACGAAGCCAGCCGGCCCUGACUGUCUAGUGCCCGGAGCAAGCCCUGUCCCUACUCCACACCUCGGGUUUAUGUACUCACUGAGCCCUGGUGGUGGUGACGAAUGCUUGCCGGCACAAAUAAAAGGCCAAAGCUGUA